rnacentral:rRNA from 1 species
GACGAACGCUGGCGGCGUGCUUAACACAUGCAAGUCGAACGGAAAGGCCCUGCUUUUGUGGGGUGCUCGAGUGGCGAACGGGUGAGUACACGUGAGUAACCUGCCCUUGACUUUGGGAUAACUUCAGGAAACUGGGGCUAAUACCGGAUAGGAGCUCCUGCUGCAUGGUGGGGGUUGGAAAGUUUCGGCGGUUGGGGAUGGACUCGCGGCUUAUCAGCUUGUUGGUGGGGUAGUGGCUUACCAAGGCUUUGACGGGUAGCCGGCCUGAGAGGGUGACUGGCCACAUUGGGACUGAGAUACGGCCCAGACUCCUACGGGAGGCAGCAGUGGGGAAUAUUGCACAAUGGGCGGAAGCCUGAUGCAGCAACGCCGCGUGCGGGAUGACGGCCUUCGGGUUGUAAACCGCUUUCGCCUGUGACGAAGCGUGAGUGACGGUAAUGGGUAAAGAAGCACCGGCUAACUACGUG